rnacentral:rRNA from 1 species
GACGAACGCUGGCGGCGCGCCUAACACAUGCAAGUCGAGCGAUGAAGACAUAACCGACGCCUUCGGGAAGAAGUUGAGUUGGAUUAGCGGCGGACGGGUGAGUAACACGUGAGUAACCUGCCUUACACAAGGGGAUAGCCGUUGGAAACGACGAAUAAUACCCUAUAAAGCAAAGCUGUCGCAUGAUAGCCUUGCCAAAGUGCUUAGUGGCGUAAGAUGGACUUGCGUCUGAUUAGCUAGUUGGUGAGAUAAAAGCCCACCAAGGCAACGAUCAGUAGCCGGCUUGAGAGAGUGUACGGCCACAUUGGGACUGAGACACGGCCCAA